AUGGACUUCUGUUCCCUGCAGGUUCCUGUCUCUCUCUCCCACCAUCUCUCCUCUCUCCCUCCAUCUCUCCUCUCUCCCUCCAUCUCUCCAUCUCUCCUCUCUACCUCCAUCUCUCCUCUCUACCUCCAUCUCUCCUCUCUCCCACCAUCUCUCCUCUCUCCCUCCAUCUCUCCUCUCUCCCACCAUCUCUCCUCUCUCCCUCCAUCUCUCCUCUCUCCCUCCAUCUCUCCUCUCUCCCUCCAUCUCUCCUCUCUCCCACCAUCUCUCCAUCUCUCCUCUCUCCCUCCAUCUCUCCUCUCUCCCACCAUCUCUCCUCUCUCCCACCAUCUCUCCUCUCUCCCACAAUUUCUCCUCACUCCCACCAUCUCUCCUCACUCCCACCAUCUCUCCUCACUCCCACCAUCUCUCUCUCUCUCCCACCAUCUCUCCUCUCUCCCUCCAUCUUUCCUCUCUCCCUCCAUCUCUCCUCUCUCCCUCUCUCCCUCCUCUCUCCCACCAUCUCUCCUCUCUCCCACCAUUUCUCCUCACUCCCACCAUCUCUCCUCACUCCCACCAUUUCUCCUCACUCCCACCAUCUCUCCUCUCUCCCUCCAUCUCUCCUCUCUCCCUCCUCUCUCCCACCAUCUCUCCUCUCUCCCUCCAUCUCUCCUCACUCCCACCAUCUCUCCUCUCUCCCACCAUCUCUCCUCUCUCCCUCCAUCUCUCCUCACUCCCACCAUCUCUCCUCUCUCCCACCAUCUCUCCUCUCUCCCACCAUCUCUCCUCUCUCCCUCCAUCUCUCCUCUCUCCCACCAUCUCUCCUCACUCCCACCAUUUCUCCUCACUCCCACCAUCUCUCCUCACUCCCACCAUUUCUCCUCACUCCCACCAUCUCUCCUCUCUCCCUCCAUCUCUCCUCUCUCCCUCCAUCUCUCCUCUCUCCCUCUCUCCCUCCUCUCUCCCUCCAUCUCUCCUCUCUCCCUCCAUCUCUCCUCUCUCCCGCCAUCUCUCCUCUCUCCCUCCAUCUCUCCUCUCUCCCUCCAUCUCUCCUCUCUCCCUCCAUCUCUCCUCUCUCCCACCAUCUCUCCUCUCCCUUCCCACCAUCUCUCAUCUCUCCCUUCAUCUCUCCUCUCCCUUCCCUCCCUCUCCUCCUCUCCUAUUGCGUUAUGUGAAGGAGGGCAGGAGAAUAGUGGACACACCGCUGAUGAGGAGAGGCUGAGGCUCAGGAUAUGUCCAAAAUGGCCCUCUAUUCACUAUAUAGUGCACUAA
rnacentral:lncRNA from 1 species